rnacentral:rRNA from 1 species
CCUACGGGAGGCAGCAGUGAGGAAUAUUGGUCAAUGGGCUUACGCCUGAACCAGCCAAGUCGCGUGAGGGAAGACUGCCCUAUGGGUUGUAAACCUCUUUUGUCAGGGAGCAACGCCGGCUACGUGUAGCCGGACUGAGAGUCCCUGAAGAAAAAGCAUCGGCUAACUCCGUGCAAGCAGCCGCGGUAAUACGGAGGAUGCGAGCGUUAUCCGGAUUUAUUGGGUUUAAAGGGUGCGUAGGCGGAAUGCCAAGUCAGCGGUAAAAUCGCGGGGCUCAACCUCGCUCCGCCGUUGAAACUGGCGUUCUUGAGUGGGCGAGAAGUAUGCGGAAUGCGUGGUGUAGCGGUGAAAUGCAUAGAUAUCACGCAGAACUCCGAUUGCGAAGGCAGCAUACCGGCGCCCAACUGACGCUGAAGCACGAAAGCGUGGGUAUCGAACAGGAUUAGAUACCCGAGUAGUC